GUAGCUCUGAAUCCUGACCUGAGACAGAGAGGAAGUGGGUGCGUUAAGGAGGCGAUAUUCAUGCAUGAUCCAGUCAGUUCUAGAUCCAUGAGGUGGCUUUCCUCUGUAGAAAACAAGUGUCUUCUUCAUCCCCACAACUUGGUUCCCUUUUGAAGUUACAAUUUGUUUGUCCAACCCAGUGGCCUUCCAAUAACCUGAAUUGGUGGCUCUGUUGGAGCGGUUGCCAUUAGGAUAUUUGGGCUCUUUGGUGCUGAAAAAGUACCUUUCUUUCUCUAAAUCACCUAAACACAGCACCCAGAAGGGAUUGCAGUUAGACUCAAUUAAUUGGGAAGAAGAGAGAGGGGAAGAAGAGAAUGAUAGGCACCUGGCAAAUCCCAAGGAUCAGACUUGCAAAGGGAAGGAGAAGACCUUCCGCUUUAAGUAUUGCACAACCAAUUCCUCGUCAGUUGGGUGGAAACGGAACCCCGGGGGUAAUCUGAGCUCCCCAUUCUUCACAAAAUUAAGUUUUUCCAUUCCACCACACCACACAACAACCUACUUCUCCUUCUCUGUAUAUGUUUUGAAUAUAGCAGUAUGGUACUAACAGUUUUGUGUGUCCGACUAGAGCAGAGCAGGCCAGUUGGGUGGGUGACAAUUGAAGCACUCGUGGGGGUUCUUAUAACUCCAUUAAAGCGUAGAGGAAAAUAAAGAAAGGGGCUGAAGAAGGGGAAAGGAAAGAAGAAAAAGGAGGGAAAAGGGUGUUAUUAUUAUUGGAUAAAGAAAGCGAAAGGGUAUGGAGUAAGAUGCAGUGUGGCUUCUUUUAUAGAAAUGGGUCUGACAGGAAGGAAGGAGAAGAAUAAGACGACACAUUUGGCGUAAACCAGACUCAACCUUUCUUUUACUUUGACGUUAUAUUAACUAUGGUUUAAGGUUUUUUUUUUAUAUUAUUAUUAUUAUGGUUUGUUUGUGAGAGAAGUUGUUACUCCAGACCAGAGUGGGUGGUGCUAAUAAGAAAACAAAGGCUAGUUCCCUGUGUUGUGGUUGCAAUUUGGAGUUAGAUUGGAGGAGGAUUCCGUUGGGUUUAUCCAAACAAAGCACUUAUCUGUCCCUUCCUUGGAUAAAACAAAACAAGUUCUCCAUUUUUUGUUUCUAACAAACAACUAAAUUUUGAUUUGGUUGGUUUUAAUGUUAUCCUAAAGUGAGGAAGUUUAGAAAGGAAGGUAAAUGAAAAAAAAAGAGGUGUCUGAAGUGAGGUUAUGUGAUGGGGUACAGCUGGAAGUGACCCAAGGGAAGGGAAUGCAAAGAGGCUUUAUCAGUGGCAUGGCACUGAGUUGGUGAAAGUACAGAACUAACCCUCUCUUUCUAUUUCUGUUCUAUCUCUCAACGGGGAACAAAAGAAUAUGAAUGAAUAGAGGAUCUUGUUUUUUAGAACACCUCAGCAAGAGAACCCACUCUUCAUUUGUACGGUUUUCGUAGUAAGUAACUUCUUCACACUUUAGACGCAUCCCAUUCUGUCGGUGUUUCCUUUAAUUCACUAAUAUUAUUCUUAUCUCAUUUUAAUAACUUUCACAAAACUCUUUACUCAAACUAAAUUCAUUUCUUCUAAGAUUAUUUACUAUUUAUUACUUUUAGCUUUGAUUUGGAAUUAAAAAAACAAUUAUCUUUACCUCUUAGAAUAAUUUCACAAUUUUUCUUUUACUCUUCUUUCUCUCGUCCUUGUAAAUACUAAGUUCGGAUUGUAUCUGUAGAAGGCACUCUGACAUAAUGUUCAGUGCAAUUAAUGCGUAAUGAUGACGUAUCUUAUUUUUAAAAUGUGUGAUUAUUUAUAUGAUUAUCAUGAAUGAUUUCUUAUUGGAUCAAUUAAGAUUUUGAAUCAUAAUUAAAUAUGCAUUACAUAAUUUAAUCACCGUUUGAUCUUGUUAAUCUUCUGUAAGACUUAAUUAAUCUGAUUACGUGAAUCGAUUUUGACUGAGUUCCACUUGUCAUUUGGAGCCGUUACAAUCCGUAAGGUUGUCAUUAUUAAAUGCAAUUUAGGUCCACGCUUGUUCAAGAUUUUUUUAGAUCGCAAAUAGUGAAUUAUGUUUCUGGGACAGUUUUGAAAAUUGAAUUGAUUGUAUUUAUGAAUUUCUUGUGAUACCACAUUCAUUUGAGGAGACGUGAACGUAAACAUACACUUGCGAAAUCAUUUUCAAAUCAAUUAAAAUAUUCUGUUAGCUUUUCAAUAACUUAAGGGUCUAAAUCACGCUGAAAUGGACUAACCAUACAAAUUGGCAUAUAUUCUUAUUAAAGGUACAUGCAUAAAAACUAUGGCCAUAUAAAACCAAUGAGAAAAUCUAUUCUAUCCCAGACAGACAUCAUCCUAUGUAUUGCAGUCUUAAUUCUCAUAAUAUAUUUCUGUGUGGGCCUAAUUUCUUUUUAUUUUCCCACCAAAUAAUGGAAACGUCCACGUUACUUGGGAGUGUAGAACAACUGUUUUUAAUUUAAGUACUAGUCAAACACUCCAUAACUAAGUUCAUUUUAUUUAUUUAUUUACUAUACUCUGUCGGGAAAAUUACAAGUUGAUUAAUUCCUUUAUUUCACAAACUAUUGUUUAUCAGGGAGUCUGAUGGUAGAGAAUUUAUUAAUUAAAUUUUUUUAUUUGGGUAGUAUAUUGAUAGAGUUCGCACUAUAAAAAGAUUCAUCAUCUUGUUUAGGUCGAUCGACAUAAUCAAUAACAAAAUUGAUUGAUAAUUCAAUAUUAGUUAAUUUGUCUUUAUUAGGUCUAUUAAUGACAAAUGGUCCACAAUAAUAAUAUAAAUAAGCAUAGAUUAAAAAAAAAAAAAAAUAAGAGAAGUGAUGUAAUAGUUUUUUUAUUCUCACCCGUUCAAGAAUAGAUAUGUCAAUAAAAAUAAUGUAUGAUUGUGUUGAUAUUCUCAUAGAUUGAGGCAUAUUACUUCUAGUUUUGUUUUAUUUAUUAGUAAUCAUCUGACUAAUUACUUUUAAUCAUACACAUUUUAAAAAAAUAUUGAUUAAAAAUAUAACUUGAGAGGUUGAAACAUAAAGUGUUAUUUUUGUUAGAUCACCCUAACGUUGACAUGAAACAUCCAUCUAUUUUACCAGUGUCUAAUAAUAAUUUAUGCAUAGUUACAAUUGACAAAAAUGUUUUUUAAUUAGAUUUAUUUCACAAAUUCAACGUUUUAACGAAUUUUUAUUUGUAACAAGACUCCGGCUUUAAUUUCCUUUUAUUUCAACAAAAAGAUAUUCUAAAAAAACUAGGUAUCAUUUCAUAUCAAAGGUAAGAGUACAAAUAUGAUAAAAUAUGUUUUUUUAAUCAUUCUAAAACAUCUAAAGUUUAGUUAUAUUUUAAAAACAUUGUUGUUUUUAUUCCUCCUACUUUUGAUUCUUUAAACGUUGUCUAAAUAAUAUAUUGUCUUUUAUAAAACGUUAUUUAAAUUUGAAGGAUAAAAUUAUGCUUUUCAAAAUUAAAGUGACUGAAAAUAAGACAAAAGGAGUUAGAAGGGCUAAUAUAUCGAAUUUAGUUGUUCUUUUUAAGAAGAAACCAAUAAAGAUACUUUACUCCUUUUUAUUUAAAAACUAAUUUGUUGACUAUUCAGGUAACAUAUGGACCUGCAGUAUAAGAUUUUUUUUUUAUUGUUGUUAUAAAAGCAACUUAUAGUUGACCGGUUAGUUUUAAAAGACAAUGAAAUAUGAAGAAUAUUAAAAAAUUAUACUAAAAUCUAAAUUUUUGGCAUAUUAAAAUUAAAAGUUAUGGUAAUGAUUUUUGCAUACUCAUCAAAGGAAAAAACAUAAAUUUAUUUUGAAUGUGUGUUUUGUUUGUGAAGUCUCUUUUAGAGUAUGGGAUUACCAUUGAUGUCAAUUGUUUAAAAUAUUACUUUGUCUCUUUCAAGAGAGACAAUUCUUUUAUGUGUCAAUCGAACAAAUCAUGUAAUAAUAAAGAGAGAUGAUAAGUAAAAAAAAAAAAAACACUCCAUUUUAGAGUUCAAUUUAAACAACUAAAAACUGUACACGUUGCUCUCUAUUUGUUCCACAGUACGUUAAAAAAGGAAUUGUGUUAAAUGUUUAAUUAAUAAUAUCGCAGGUGACAUCUGCACACCUUCAAUAAUUGAAUUUUGACUAGUUUUCUCAGUAUUUUUGGAUUUCUUAUUUGUCUUAAAAAAAGGCAAAGUAAGUUGUGAUUGUGUUAUAAUGAAACGCAUAAUAAGUGUAGAGAAGUAUGAAAAAAGAUAAGGUGUUUGUUUAGUGAUUAGUAGUAUUGGAAUGAAUUAUUUUGAAAAGUAGUUUGAUAGAGAGAGAUGUAUAAUAAAAAAAUGAUAAUGAGAUGAGAAGAAAGGUGGGUGAAAGAAUAAAGGUAAGGGUCCCAGUUGGUUCGAAAACCAGGGGCAACCACGUAGGAUUAAGGGUAGAUGACAAAUAUGGUACCUUCAAGUGAUGCCCCAUUUCAAGAUUUCCACGAUCUUCUUGUCUCACUGUUUCCAUCUAAUCAUGCAAUACAAUGCAGUGUAUUUCCAAACAGGAUUCUAAUUAAAACAACCAUUUUCAGUUCUUCUAUUUACAUCUCACUCCUUCUAUUCGGACAAAAUUUGUUAUUUUUGUUUUUCCACUUUUUUUUCUCAUUCAAAUAUGUUCAGUUUUUUGUUCUUUCUCCGACUUAGUUUUGGGUGUGACAUUCUCUGACUAAGUGGCCUUUAAAGUGAUGUUUUAUACAACUAAAUCGUUAUCGGUACAUAAAAUAAUUGAGAGAUGAGCAAUAAUUUUAUGAGUUGCAUGAUUAUAACACCGUCCUAGUUUAAUCUGCAAAUUGCUUAAAGUUUUUAUUUAAUUUUGUAAAAGGUACAAAUUGGAUGGGUUGUGGCAGUGGUGCAGGACAGUGUUGUAUGCAUGAGGUGAAGAAAUGUAAGCAAUAGGGAAACGUAGCUGUCAUGCUUUCUAUAUAGCUCAGAACUAGACGUGUUAAAACACUCAUGGUUUCUGCACAGAAUGCUAUAAAACAAACUACACUUAAUUACCAUCAUCAUCAUCUGAAACUACAACCAAUUUCAUUCUAAUAAACUCUUAAGCAUAUUCAUGAUAGGCUCUGUAUUUGCCAUUCAAAAAAUGCUUCCAAUUUCUGCAUUUCUUAUUCAAUAUAUAUACAUAUAUUGUAGUUGGUUAUUAAGAUCACAGAUAACCCUCCUCUCUCUAUCCGACAAGAAUGACCAUUCAUUUUGCAACCUCUUCUUUUCCUAAACAAAAGGAACAAACUAGUGCAAAGGUUGUGUUCUUAUUUUAUGUUUCUUCUCCUGAAAACGGUCUUUAAAAUAUACAUGUAUUUUGGACCUCUUUUCUUAUGCUCUUUCCAUGGAUUCUUUCUCUUUUGCUCUGUCAAAGCAUCUCCUUCAAGACUCAAAAUUAGUAGCUUUUAGCUAGCUAAAAGAAGCACUGCCUUUGCAUUUGCAUGAUGAUGAAGGGCAUCAUCAGAGAUUGAACUAAAAAGAAAAACUGGAUUGCACACUAGUUUUAGUAGCAUACUCUUCAGACUUAGACUAGCCUUGGUGCCGGUUGAAAAUGAGAAGAUAAUUACAGAGAAAGACAAUAAAAGAAAGAGGCAAAGCUUAGGCUGAUAUGAGAUGAGAUGGUUGCAAAACAAGUAGUGGCACUAGAAUUCAAGUGAAGGGUGUCAAGGUUUUCUUCUAAUAUAAGGGAAGGUGUUGGAGCUACUACUCUCUUCAUGCUCAUCUGAUUCAUUGGUAACCCCACUGGCGCCAGAAUUUGAGGAAUCGCUCUUGUUCUGCGCCAUGAAGUUAUAGAAAACCAUCUUCGACUUUCUCACCAUCCCCUUAUCCACUCUGCCUCGCAAACUCUCCAUCUCCUUCUCCUCCCCGUUUCUACUACCACUUCUCCUCUUCAAAAAUAUGCGACACAGAACCCAAUUUUCCAUGGGAACUUCAACCACAGGGCUCUGCACGCGCACACACAAACAAACCAAAAACACUGUGUGAGUAAUUAAUGCAUGCGUGGGGAUAAUUUGAGGUUAAUUUGGUAGCUCUGAAUCCUCACCUGAGACAGAGAGGAAGUGGGCGCGUUAAGAAGGCGAUAUUCAUGCAUGAUCCAGUCAGUUCUAGAUCCAUGAGGUGGCUUUCCUCUGUAGAAAACAAGUGUCUUCUUCAUCCCCACAACUUGGUUCCCUUUUGAAGUUACAAUUUGUUUGUCCAACCCAGUGGCCUUCCAAUAACCUGAAUUCGUGGCUCUGUUUGAGCGGUUGCC
rnacentral:lncRNA from 1 species